rnacentral:lncRNA from 1 species
AUUGUAGACACUGCUGUGUUCCUGCACCUGUUUCAGUUAUCAGAGUCUCCUAAAAAGCUUCACAACCUACCACUGUCCACACAGGCUUUCUGGUUCCCAUGUUGCAAGGCUGAAAAUAGAGUCCGAGAAAACGGUGAUCUCGGAAGUAUGGAAGGUGUUGACCUCAAGGCAGCUGAAAGGCUUGGUAUUCACAAAUGGAAGAAGAAUCAAACCCAGAGAAAGAAAGCAAAUGAUGUGAGAAAGAAUCUGGAGAAGAGAGAUGCACUUGGCACCAAGGUGAAAUGGACCAUCUGACUCUCUUGUUCUCAAUGUAUAUAAGUCAGAACCAUAAGAGAGGCUGAGAAGAGAUAAACAUGCUUCCCUAAAGAAGAAUCCUGCAACAACAAAAACAAUAAAAAUAGCUGAUCACACA